rnacentral:tRNA from 1 species
GGGGGUAUAUCUCAGUGGUAGAGCGCAUGCUUAGUAGUCACAAGGUCCUGGGUUCAAUCCCCAGUACUUCCA